UGUGACCGCUCUCAUUGAAACACAUAUUUAGUUGUUUCGGAUGUUUAAAAUCUGAAAUUUACCAAAUCAUAUUCCCGCUUUUUUGUUUUGUUCGUGUCAUUGAGUUUAAUAAAACACUUUGCUUAACAUAGCCUCUCAUCGCUUUACGUUUUAUAAAAUAAAUUAAUAUAUUUAUUAAAAAAAAAAAAUAAAAAAAUGGAUAGAAUAUGUGAACAAAUUAUUGAAGAAGUUGAAAAAUAUGAAAUUUUAUAUAAUAAUCAAUCUGGAGAUUCCAAAACAAUUAAGAUCAGACGCAAAAAUUGGAAAAAAGUUGCAAAAAAAAUUAACAUGAGAGUUGAUUUUGUAAAAAAAAGAUGGCGAAGUUUGAGAAGUUCCUAUAGAAGAUAUAAAAAGCUAAAAGACAUGACAUCUGGGAGUCGAAAAACAAAACUAGUGCCAUAUAAAUUCGCCGAAAGCUUAUCAUUUUUGGACCAGUUUCUAAAUACACAAACAUCCAAGAAGAAAGAUUCAACUCCUCAGAACGUAAAUAACUCUGGCCAUGAUUUCCAACAACAAACACACGCACGAUUCCGGAAAUUGAUCUUACAAAUGAUUCAUCUGCUUCAUCUUUUUUCAAUAGCAACAUAUAUAACAGUGACCAUGAUUCCAGCAACAACAACAACACACCCAUGCCUACGGAAAUUGAUCUUAUAAGUGAUUCAUCUGCUUCAUCUUCUUUCAAUAGCAACAUAAAUAACAGUGACCAUGAUUCCAGCAACAACAACAACACACCCAUGCAUAUCGAAAAAAGGACUAGAAAGGAUUCAUCCGUUCCUCUCGCAAGCAACUUAAAAACAGAUCGUAGUGAAUACUUAACACGGGCAUUUAUCAAAAUUUUGAAGGAAGAAACUGCCAUUUGGAAAACUGAUACUGAGCAAUACAAAGAUCCAAAUGAAAGAAAAAAGUCGUGGAAAAGUCUUUUGGCAAAAUAUAGAAAGAUCGAUAAAAAUACGAGAAUGGAAAGGGUUCAAAAGAAAUAUAACGUAAUUCUAAAUGCUUAUAAAAGCGAACUAGAAAAAGUCCAUACAAAUGAGAAUCUGGUACCAACAUUGUCGUACUUUGAACAUAUAAAUUUUUUGCGUAAUUAUUUGAAUGACCUACUUAAAAAAGAAAGUCAAGAUAUAUUGAGAUUGAGCCGAAAUUUGAGCUCAAUUAAUAGACGUUAACACGUGCCGCUAGUCACUCAAAGUUUGAAAAAUCCUACAUAUGAAGCUAUAACUCCAGAACAGUAGACUAGUAUCUCAAAACAAAGCUAAUAUUCUAUCUGGCAAGGGGAAUCAUAAUGUGGGAUUAAGACGAACAAUAUUCCGACAUUUUUUUCUCUACAUAUAAUAUCCGUUAAAAACAGAUCGUAGUGAAUACUUAACACGGGCAUUUAUCGAAAUUUUGAAGGAAGAAACUGCCAUUUGGAAAACUGAUACUGAGCAAUACAAAGAUCCAAAUGAAAGAAAAAAGUCGUGGGAAAGUCUUUUGGCAAAAUAUAGAAAGAUCGAUAAAAAUACGAGAAUGGAAAGGGUUCAAAAGAAAUAUAACGUAAUUCUAAAUGCUUAUAAAAGCGAACUAGAAAAAGUCCAUACAAAUGAGAAUCUGGUACCAACAUUGUCGUACUUUGAACAUAUAAAUUUUUUGCGUAAUUAUUUGAAUGACCUACUUAAAAAAGAAAGUCAAGAUAUAUUGAGAUUGAGCCGAAAUUUGAGCUCGAUUAACAGACGUUAACACGUGCCGCUAGUCACUCAAAGUUUGAAAAAUCCUACAUAUGAAGUUAUAACUCCAGAACAGUAAACUAGUAUCUCAAAACAAAGCUAAUAUUCUAUUUGGCAAAGGGAAUCAUAAUGUGGGAUUAAGACGAACAAUAUUCCGACAUUUUUUUCUCUACAUAUAAUAUCCGGUCAGUCUAAAAUACAUACAUAUAUAUUUAUGUACAUAUUUAUUUCUUAAUGUUCUAGUCUAGUCCAUGAUACAACCAUAGAAAGGUAGAAUCAGUAGGGAGAGUUGUCAAUUCUCUGCCUUGUUAAGUCAAACAAAAAGAACUAUAAAGAGAAAAACUUAAAACUCUUCAAAUGAAAACCACGAAAAAUACCAUAAAAUGAUUCUUGAACGGCACACGCAAACAGCAUUCCACACUUCUGU